rnacentral:rRNA from 1 species
CGCAGCCGCGGUAAUUCCAGCUCCAAUAGCGUAUAUUAAAGUUGCUGCAGUUAAAAAGCUCGUAGUUGAAUUUCGGGACCAAUAUGCCGGUCGUGCCUCGGUACGUACUGGCAUCGUUGGUUUCCCCCUUCUGACGAACCAUGAUGUCAUUUAUUUGGUGUCGUGGGGAAUCAGGACUGUUACUUUGAAAAAAUUAGAGUGUUUAAAGCAGGCUCACGCUUGAAUACAUUAGCAUGGAAUAAUGAAAUAGGACGUUUGAUUCUAUUUUGUUGGUUUCUAGGAUCGACGUAAUGAUUAAUGGGGAUAGUUGGGGGCAUUAGUAUUCAAUUGUCAGAGGUGAAAUUCUUGGAUUUAUUGAAGACUAACUACUGCGAAAGCAUUUGCCAAGGAUGUUUUCGUUAAUCAAGAACGAAAGUUAGGGGAUCGAAGGCGAUCAGAUACCGUCGUAGUCUUAACCAUAAACUAUGCCGACUAGGGAUCGGAUGAUGUUAAUUUUUAAUUGACUCAUUCGGCGCCUUAC